UACGUAGGCAGCGAGCGUUGUUCGGAGUUACUGGGCGUAAAGGGUGCGUAGGCGGUCGGGUAAGUCUGAUGUGAAAUCUCCAAGCUCAACUUGGAAAUGGCAUCGGAUACUAUUCGGCUGGAGGAAUGGAGGGGAGACUGGAAUACUUGGUGUAGCAGUGAAAUGCGUAGAUAUCUGGAGGAAUACCGGUGGCGAAGGCGGCAUCCUGGACCGACAUUGACGCUGAGGAGCGAAAGCUAGGGGAGCAAACGGG
rnacentral:rRNA from 1 species